GUAUACUCGAAUAUUUUUUUCGGGUUUUAGAUUGCCGCCAGAAACAGGUCCUCCAUAUCAGGAGCCGUAUGGAAGUGAAGGAGCCUCGAAUGCGCCGGCCGGCCCUGCAAAAGCGUUCGAAGAAGAGUCCGAAGGCGAGUUUGCUGGCUUGGCAUCGUAUUUUUCUAGCCAAAGACAGGACGACUUGGACUCAUAGUGGAUAGACGCGAUUAUUGCAUCAGUAUCAUCAAAGCACUUGAGUCUUCUGCAUGCGAGUAGCGCGUUCCACACAGGGGUAACAAUCGACUUAUUUUUGUUAGUUAGAGGUAUUUUAUAUGAAAAUGUACAGUAAUCUAUUAACUUUUAUAUUAGCAGCAGUUGGGCUCUUUGUACAUACCUUUUUGUAUAUAAAACUGUCUAGAUUUAGACUAAUCUCUCAUUAUGUAUCAAUGGACUUAUCGAAUAUAAACUGUAUAUAGAAAGAAAUUAAUUAAUAAACAAUCUACUGGCGCGCCAGUGGGGCCGGAGGACGUGGUUUUUACAAGUAUCGAUUUUUUCAACAUUUUCAUCUCCGACCCAAUGAGCGUUUUGUGAUUAGUUUGGAAUUCCAAUUUUUAUUUUGCAAUAUUAGUGUUUUGUUUUCUUAUGAAAUUCAAGUGAUUUGCUUCAAUUUCGAUGGCAGCGGUUUGGUUGUAAUGUUUGUAAAAGUUAUGAACAGAUGGAAUAAAAAACACUAUUCUGUUUCA
rnacentral:lncRNA from 1 species